CGGAGGAAAAGAAACCAACAGGGAUUGCCUCAGUAACGGCGAGUGAAGCGGCAAAAGCUCAAAUUUGAAAUCCCCCGGGAAUUGUAAUUUGAAGAGAUUUGGGUCCGGCCGGCGGGGGUUAAGUCCACUGGAAAGUGGCGCCACAGAGGGUGACAGCCCCGUGAACCCCUUUAAAGCCCUCAUCCCAGAUCUCCAAGAGUCGAGUUGUUUGGGAAUGCAGCUCUAAGUGGGUGGUAAAUUCCAUCUAAAGCUAAAUACCGGCGAGAGACCGAUAGCGAACAAGUACAGUGAUGGAAAGAUGAAAAGCACUUUGAAAAGAGAGUGAAAAAGUACGUGAAAUUGUUGAAAGGGAAGGGCUUGCAAGCAGACACUUAACUGGGCCAGCAUCGGGGCGGCGGGGAGCAAAACCACCGGGGAAUGUACCUUUCGAGGAUUAUAACCCCGGCCCUUACUCCCAUACUGCCCCGAGGCCUGCAAUCUAAGGAUGCUGGCGUAAUGGUUGCAAGUCGCCCGUCU
rnacentral:rRNA from 1 species